AACGCACAUUGCGCCCGCCAGUAUUCUGGCGGGCAUGCCUGUCUGAGCGUCAUUUCAACCCUCAUGCCCCUAGGGCGUGGUGUUGGGGAUCGGCCAAAGCCCGCGAGGGACGGCCGGCCCCUAAAUCUAGUGGCGGACCCGUCGUGGCCUCCUCUGCGAAGUAGUAAUAUUCCGCAUCGGACAGCGACGAGCCCCUGCCGUAAAACCCCCAACUUUCCAAGGUUGACCUCAGAUCAGGUAGGAAUACCCGCUGAACUUAA
rnacentral:misc_RNA from 1 species